rnacentral:rRNA from 1 species
UCUGCUAAGUCGCAAGACGAUGUAUAGGAGCUGACGCCUGCCCGGUGCUGGAAGGUUAAGGGGAUCUGUUAGAGCAAUCGAAGCAGUGAACUUAAGCCCCAGUAAACGGCGGCCGUAACUAUAACGGUCCUAAGGUAGCGAAAUUCCUUGUCGGGUAAGUUCCGACCCGCACGAAAGGCGUAACGAUUUGGGCACUGUCUCAACAACAGACUCGGUGAAAUUGUAAUUCCGGUGAAGAUGCCGGAUACCUGCGACAGGACGGAAAGACCCCAUGGAGCUUUACUGUAGCUUGACAUUGGGUCUUGGUACUACAUGUACAGGAUAGGUGGGAGGCUUUGAAACCAGGACGCCAGUUUUGGCGGAGCCAUCCUUGGGAUACCACCCUUGUAGUACUGGGACUCUAACCAUAGGCCAUGAAUCUGGUCUUGGGACACUGUCAGGUGGGCAGUUUGACUGGGGCGGUCGCCUCCCAAAAGGUAACGGAGGCGCUCAAAGGUUCUC